UACGGGGGGGAGCAAGCGUUGUUCGGAUUUACUGGGCGUAAAGGGCGCGUAGGCGGCCACCGCAAGUCAAUUGUGAAAUCUCCGGGCUUAACCCGGAAAGGUCAGCCGAUACUGCGGGCUAGAGUGCAGAAGGGGCAACUGGAAUUCUCGGUGUAGCGGUGAAAUGCGUAGAUAUCGAGAGGAACACCUGCGGCGAAGGCGGGUUGCUGGGCUGACACUGACGCUGAGGCACGAAAGCGUGGGAGCGAACAGG
rnacentral:rRNA from 1 species